ensembl:piRNA 21ur-9825 ncRNA
UUAAGAGCAACUUGUAUUUUU